rnacentral:lncRNA from 10 species
GCCCCUCCUUCCUGUCCCACCCCCUCCUUUCUGUACCUGUUGACCUCAUCUGGGCUGCAGUUGGUGACUGCUCGAAGGGGUGGGAGGAACAGUAUAAAGUCCUGUCCCCUUCCUGCCUUCAAGGGCACCCCUGAAGGACCAUAUCCACUGUGGACCCCCUUGGGAUCAGCCGAGGUCUGUAGAGGUGACAUUGCAGCCCAGCACCUCCCUCCUCCGCCCUGCCCUCCUCUGUCCUCCUUCCACAGGUGUGGCCAAGGGCACUGCCCAGUUGGCCUGUGACCCCCAGCUGAGGCUGCUUCCUGGGCAGCUGACUUCAAGUUUGUGACCUGAGCUCUCCAGGCCCCCGAGCGGCUGGUGCCUUGGCCCUGCAGUUCUGCGGCCAAGACUCCUCCUCUGGGAUCUCGUCUUACCCUGCUGCGGGUGCCAGGGCUGCAUGAAGCAAGGGCGAAAGUCCCCUUCGCCCGGGCGCUGCCCUCUGCCUGCUGUCCCCUGUGCUCCUGUUCCCCGUGGCUGCCCAGGGACAGGUGUGUGGGAUGGAGGACGCGGGAGAGGCUGAGUCCUCCCCAGUGGACCCCCAGAUGCAGACCCUGAGGCAAGGGAGAGUGAGAAAGUGAAGGAAAGAACACAGCUGGAAAUGCAACCAAGAAGGAACCCCAGCCCGGACCACUCUUUUCACACUCUCUGUUGCCCUUGUCCUUGGGCAUCUCAGUGACUCGAAGGAAUUGGGUCUUGAGACACAGCCGAGCCUGUGAGCGCUGACCUGUGUAAAGAAGACACCAGAAUGAGAUGUCUCCACACACAGAGAGCUGCAGCCGAUGCCGGCCGGUGACUUGGGACUUGGAUGCUUAACAGGAGGCUCCCCCUCUCUUGGGAGGUAGAGAGCAGUGAGGAAGGGGACUCAGCCUCCAUGCCUCCCGCCAGCCCAGCUGCGCCCGAAUCACCUCCCUCCUGAAAGGAUGUCAGCCUCUGCUUGGACACCGUGGAGACAGGGCCCUCCUUGUGCUUCAGAAGCAUCAACGUGUCAGAAAAUCAUCUUCACGCCAAGUCUGGAAAAAAUGGCUUUGAGGUUGUGCACACAAAGGAAGGAGGGAGAGCCCCAGGUGUCGCGGAGGACCAUGCGGCUGACAGAGCCAGCAGGGCGGUGGCGUGUGAGCCGUGCUCUGGAUAUAUAAGGAUCUGACGCUGCUGGCAAUGUCUGAGCUCUAUGCUCGCCCAUCUGUCGGCUGCUAUCAUCACCGGGUGGGAUUAGCGGAGAUCCACUCUUUCAUAUUUAAAUCUUCACAAGAGAAUGAAUCACUUUUAUAAUAAAAGAAAAAGACCGUCCAUGUUGUUAAUGUGCACACAGCAAGUUGGAAGGCCGGGGAGGGCAGCGGGUGGGGACGCUGACCCAGGCGCCCCCCUGCUGCCUGGAACAGCCCCAGGCCUGCUCCACUGUCCCCUCGGGGUUCCCUGUCGAAGAGGCCAAAGAGUGGAGGGGCUGGUGCCUAGAGGGUGUGGAGCUGCAGGUGCACAGUACAGCUGGCACCUGGCAGAGGUGGUUCAUUAUCAAGCAAAGGAUGAACAAGGCACUUGGAGCCCCUUCACAACUGGAACCUCCACUGCAGGCACAAGGCUGGGCUGGACUGGGGUCUCCUCCUCUCCAUGACAGCCUUGGGCAACCUGGAGCCCGCCACUGCCCCUCCCCAGGUGCUGUCCCCUUGAAGCUUCUCCCAACGGUUUAGUAUUGUAGAGUUGGCACAUCUCACGUGAACAAGAACAGCCAUCACUGAAACGAAUGCUCAGAGCGGACCGGCGUUUUUUCCCAGCCACCCUGGGGUGAGCAUGGCUCACGUUGCACACCAGGAAGCCCAGGAGCGGGGAAUUGAACCAGUUCCAUCCAGUCCCUGGCAAGGGACCACCCUGUGUCCGAAGGCCACGUUCAUUUUUCAGAUUGCAGGAAAUGGCUCAGCCUGAAGUUCAAGUUUUCCUCUGAGCUCCUGUUGAUUAAUGUGGCAAAGAGAGCAUGCUGUGGAAUAUGCUGGCAGAAAUGUCAGGAUUGCUAAAGCGUUUCACUGCAAAUGCUCAGGCUGGUGGGGAGGUGCCUUGGCACAAUUCUGCAGAGGGUAUUUGGCAAUAGCAACAAAAUCACAAAGGCACAAACCCUGUGACCCAGAAACACCAAUUUCACGGUAGGAGCUGCUGCCGCAGGGGUUUGCCCAGAGCACAGGGAAAGAUGUGCUCACUGUACUCGCUGGGACAAGCAAGAGAUUGGAAAGAGCUCAGUGUCGUCAUUCAGGGUGUCUCCUGUGUCUCCUGAUCGCUAUAAGGGGUUCCAGGCUGGUCCCCGGGGGAGGAGCUCCUGAUCAGACGCAGGCCCUGCCCCCUCCCCAGCACAGAGCUGGUGAAGGAAGUGGACAUUCAUUCAUUCAGGAUGUUCUGAGUAUUUCAGCACCACCAGGCCCUGGGAAAUCAAGGUCUCAGCAGAUGACGGUGGCAGUUUGAUUUUUGGCUGAAUUGUCCUCUACAGCAGUCACUGGGGGUUGCGUUUUUCUCACACUGCCCAGUCAUGCAGCACACGGAAGCCAUCCAUAUGCCAUGGGAAAAUGCUUUGUCUCCUGCCUGGGCGCCCCCCGAGCCAGUGAGUACAGUCCUGCCUAGUGGCAAGGGCACUAACGUGACAGAUCAGAAGUGGAGCUAACACACUUAGCACAGAGCGCUUUGGAGCCCGGUUCCUUGAAAAAAGCCACACCAUCCGGAAAAGUUCUCUGCUCCAUGCAGGAAAAGCCCAGAGACCUGCAAACGCAAGCCCUGGGUUUCCGGGGAGUUUGUGCAAAGCCCCAGCUGUGACCAAGGAGGAGCUGCUGUGAUCAAGGGGGAGGCCCUGCAGCUGGGGACGAGGCGGUGCGGCCAGGGGCCAGCAGUCCCAGCACGACUUAACUUUCCAUGUCAGAGCACAGAUUUGGAAAAGAGCAAGUGUUCCCAGUUGCCUGCGGGACAGCAUAUGCGUCCCGCACCCCGCCGGCCUGUUCUCCAGUUCUGGCCGUCGCCGGCCGCUGCACCUCCAGCCCCACGGUUCUCUGUGUGCUUUUCUGCCAUGCAGACAUAUGGGCAUCAGGCACAUCCUGCCCCUCCCAGCGCCUAGUGGCCACGCCCUGGCAAAGCUGGCCGCCGUGUCCCACAGACAUCUGGCUCUACACAGCAUCUCAGCGGUGUCAGUGGAAUUAGUGUUCUGCCCUGUUGUGGUGAAUCUGAUUAUGGUGAACACACAGAGCCAAGUGUCCUCACCCACCGGAAGAGGCCGUAGGGGUGAGAGAGGAAGGCCGGGGGCGGCCCCUCACACCCCCAAGUACCUGCAUGGGAGGGACUGACUCAGUGACACCUGGCUCUCCUUGCUUCCCCAGCUGCCCAGCCCCUGGGCUCAGGGGGCCCCAGGCUCUGGCUUAACCCCAGAUCUCCACCCUUUGUGCUUCAGCCAGGCCCCUUCUGUGUGAUUCCAGGGGCUCCAGCCUCUACCCUGAGUGGCCGAAAGGAAGGGCCAGUGCUCUGGAACAGCAGUGGGACCCAGGGCCACCCCAUCCAGUGCCGAGUCUGGGAUCUCAAGAGCAUAGGACGUGGGAGACUUGGUGAACCAAGAGGGCCCAGGGGCCAGGGUCAAGCACAGCCAGAGGGGGCCUGCUGCCCGGAAGUGUCCUGGAGAGCCUCUCAGCCUGUCCCGGUUCAGUCUCAAGAGCCCAACGGGUCCCCAACGGCGCCACACGACAUGAGGUUCCACACGCGUCUCCCUCACAGCCACGCAGGGCUUUCCUUUACAACAGUGAGGAGGCUUGGCUUUUCUGUUUUAUGAAUGGCUCAGUGCAUGAAAACACGCGUGUGUAAAAGAUAGAUCACUGGGGAGGCGACAAGUCCCAGCUUUCCCAUUUCUAGAUCCUAGAGUCAAGAACAAGGCAGCCCAGGAUUUUGGCCUCGCUGAGUGACCCUGAGCAUAUUUCCCUUCUCGUGCUGGCCCUGUCUCCUCCUCAUGAUGGAAGGGGAUGGGCUGGUCCAUUUUGGAGAUCUCUGGCCUGAGACCUAGACCCUCCGCCAUCUCUGCUGCCAAGAGCAGCAAGGCUGGAGCCACCUCGAGGACCAGCGUGAGCCUGGACGUGUUCCCAGCCUCCAGCCCGGGUUCCUGCCAUGCUAACCCCGCGGGCAGAAGAGAGGCAGUGCACAGGGCUCCCUGCCAACACAGGCACGGCUGAGGCCUGUGGCCACCUUGCAAG